GACAGAGGGUGCAAACGUUGUUCGGAAUUACUGGGCGUAAAGCGCGUGUAGGCGGCAGGGCAUGUCGGAUGUGAAAUCCCGUGGCUCAACCACGGAAGUGCACCCGAAACUGCCCAGCUUGAGUCUCGGAGAGGAAGGCGGAAUGCUUGGUGUAGAGGUGAAAUUCGUAGAUAUCAAGCGGAACACCGGUGGCGAAGGCGGCUCGCUGGGCCAAUGCUGACGCUGAGGCGCGAAAGCGUGGGGAGCAAACAGG
rnacentral:rRNA from 1 species